rnacentral:rRNA from 1 species
GAACCUACGGGGCGCAGCAGUCGGGAAUAUUGCGCAAUGGAGGAAACUCUGACGCAGUGACGCCGCGUAUAGGAAGAAGUUUUUCGGAAUGUAAACUAUUGUCGUUAGGGAAGAGAAAGGACGGUACCUAAGGAGGAAGCCCCGGCUAACUAUGUGCCAGCAGCCGCGGUAAUACAUAGGGGGCGAGCGUUAUCCGGAAUUAUUGGGUGUAAAGGGUGCGUAGACGGGAUUUUAAGUUAGUUGUGAAAGCCCCAGGCUUAACUUGGGAACUGCAACUAAAACUGAAAUUCUUGAGUACUGGAGAG